rnacentral:rRNA from 1 species
GACGUAGGGCGCGAGCGUUGUCCGGAUUUAUUGGGCGUAAAGAGCUCGUAGGCGGCUUGUUGCGUCGACUGUGAAAACCCGCGGCUUAACUGCGGGCUUGCAGUUGAUACGGGCAGGCUAGAGUUCGGUAGGGGAGACUGGAAUUCCUGGCGUAGCGGUGAAAUGCGCAGAUAUCAGGAGGAACACCGGUGGCGAAGGCGGGUCUCUGGGCCGAUACUGACGCUGAGGAGCGAAAGCGUGGGGAGCGAACAGG